rnacentral:lncRNA from 1 species
GGCAAAGUCAAACGCAAGCGCCUCCCACCCCAGAGACCUUUGGUCGCAGCCUGGAGAUCAGCUCAGACAAGAAAACGACCAGGGAAGGCACACAGCCCUGUGGGGAGGCGUUGGGGCGUGAGGUUGAGAGAGACAGAGUGGCCUGGCCUGGCCUGCCCUGUGAGCUGGGUGAGUUGGUACUGAUUCUGGAAGAUGGACGUGAAUGGGCGUGGUCACUUGUCGCUAGGUGAGUUGCUGGGAGAUGGGCCUGCAGCGUGGUCUUGCUGGUGUGAGGCUCCAGGGAUUACGGGGUGAUCAGAGCGUGGGUCCCUGGAUUGCCUUUGGGUGGCGACAUCUAGACUGCUCAGCCUUGCAGCCAUGCUUCUGCCCAGAGGGAUAGGACACCCACAGUACGAGAGAGACAAACACAGUGCGAC